CCAGGCCUACGGGGGGCAGCAGUGGGGGAUAUUGCACAAUGGGGGAAACCCUGAUGCAGCGACACCGCGUGGGAGAAGAAGCGCUUCGGCGUGUAAAGCCCUAUCAGUGGGGAAGAAAAAGGACGGUACCCAAAGAAGAAGCACCGGCUAAAUACGUACCAGCAGCCGCGGUAAUACGUAUGGAGCAAGCGUUAUCCGGAAUGACUGGGUGUAAAGGGAGCGUAGACGGUUGUACAAGUCUGCUGGGAAAGCCAACGGAACAACUGAGGGAGGGCAUUGGAAACUGCAGCACUAGAGGAUAGGAG
rnacentral:rRNA from 1 species